UGCCUGACUCGUCCUCUGCCUUCAGCAGGCUGAAGCGUGGGGAUUGACCCACUUGGCUGGCACCUGUUGCCAGGGGAUUCGGACAACAUAAGAUAUUCACCAGCGAUGACACAGGUCAAGGUUGACCACAGGUAGCUGAAACCACUGAAAACAAAACCCUGGGUAAGGGGAACUAAUGUAUCACAAUUUGUUUAUCCAUUCAAUAGUUGAUGAACACUUUUUCCAGUUUAUGCACUUAUAAAUAAAGCUGCUAUGAACACGU